UACGGGGGGGGCAAGCGUUGUUCGGAUUCACUGGGCGUAAAGGGUGCGUAGGCGGUCGGGUAAGUCUGAUGUGAAAUCUCACAGCUUAACUGUGAAACUGCAUUGGAUACUAUUCGGCUUGAGAGUUGGAGGGGGGACUGGAAUUCUUGGUGUAGCAGUGAAAUGCGUAGAUAUCGUCAGGAACGCCGAUGGUGAAGACAGGUGACUGGGCUAGUUCUGACACUGAGGCACGAAAGCGUGGGGAGCGAACGGG
rnacentral:rRNA from 1 species